GAUGAACGCUAGCGGCAGGCCUAAUACAUGCAAGUCGAGGGGCAGCGGGGUAGCAAUACUGCCGGCGACCGGCGCACGGGUGCGUAACGCGUAUGCAAUCUACCUCUUACUGGGAAUAGCCCGGAGAAAUUCGGAUUAAUACCUCAUGGUUUAUUUGAAUGGCAUCGUUUGAAUAAUAAAGAUUUAUCGGUAAGAGAUGAGCAUGCGUACGAUUAGUUAGUUGGUAGGUAACGGCCUACCAAGACGAUGAUCGUUAGGGGGGUCUGAGAGGAUGAUCCCCCACACUGGUACUGAGAUACGGACCAGACUCCUACGGGAGGCAGCAGUAGGGAAUAUUGGUCAAUGGAGGCAACUCUGAACCAGCCAUGCCGCGUGCAGGAAGAAGGGCCCUCUGGGUUGUAAACUGCUUUUGACUAGGAACAAAUGACUCUUGCGAGAGUAGCUGAGUGUACUAGUAGAAUAAGCCACGGCUAACUACGUGCCAGCAGCCGCGGUAAU
rnacentral:rRNA from 1 species